rnacentral:rRNA from 1 species
AGUGAACGCUGGCGGUAGGCCUAACACAUGCAAGUCGAACGGCAGCACAGUAAGAGCUUGCUCUUACGGGUGGCGAGUGGCGGACGGGUGAGGAAUACCUCGGAAUCUACUUUUUCGUGGGGGAUAACGUAGGGAAACUUACGCUAAUACCGCAUACGACCUACGGGUGAAAGCAGGGGAUCUUCGGACCUUGCGCGAUUGAAUGAGCCGAUGUCGGAUUAGCUAGUUGGCGGGGUAAAGGCCCACCAAGGCGACGAUCGGUAGCUGGUCUGAGAGGAUGAUAAGCCACAUUGAAACUAGAAACCGGCCCAGACUCCUAGGGGAGGCAGCAGUGGGGAAUAUUGACAAAUGGGCGCAAGCCUGAUCCAGCCAUACCGCGUGGGUGAGAAAGGCCUUCGGGUGGUAAAGCCCUUUUGUUGGGAAAGAAAAGCAGCAGGUUAAUACCCCGCUGUUCUGACGGUACCCAAAGAAUAAGCACCGGCUAACUUCGU